GUAGUCGGAUGAUCGCUUUAAUAGAUUAAAUAUUAAAGAGGAAAGUCCGGGCACUUAAGGGUAGGUCGCUAGAUAACGUCUAGUAUAAGAAAUUAUGAGGAAAGUGCCACAGAAAAGUAAACAGCCUUUUUAUUUUAAUAAUUAAAACAAGAAGGCAAAGGUGCAACUGUGAGGUAAGAGCUCACAUAAAUGUAUCAAAAGAUACAUUUAGGUAAACCCCGACUGAGUGCAAGAUUAGAAGUAGUCUUUAAAACUGACCCGGUUAAACUUCUAAAAAUCGCUUGAAAUUAUUAGUAAUAAUAAUUCUAGAUAGAUGAUCAUCUAAAACAGAACCCGGCUUAUUGAUUACUUC
rnacentral:RNase_P_RNA from 1 species